GGGAAGACUGGAGGGAUCUGUGUGAGAGAAACACGCUUCUGGAUACAAAUAUGGAGUCCCGGCUGAGAAGAUCAUCCUGUAUGGGCAGAGCAUUGGGACGGCAGCUGCAGUGGACCUUGCCACCCGCUACAAAUGCGCUGCAGUAAUCCUGCACUCACCGCUCAUGUCAGGGUUACGGGUCUUUUCUCCUAACAUACGGAGGACCUGCUGCUGUGACCCCUUUCCCAGCAUCAACAAAAUCUCUAAGGUGACCUGUCCGGUGCUCAUCAUUCAUGGCACAGAAGAUGAGAUUGUGGACUUUAGCCACGGGCUGGGAUUGUAUGAGCGUUGCCCAAACACAGUGAAGCCACUCUGGGUGAAAGGAGGAGGGCACAAUGAUUUAGACACAUUCAAGCAAUAUAUAAAGAGACUCCAGUAUUUCUUCUACAAGGAGCUGCCCACAUUCUGAAGCUCCCACCAUCGAGCACACCACUCUCUGCAGGAUUUAAAGGGCCAGCACGCCAAAAAUGUGACGUCACAUUGACACCAUAAGUUAAACACCUAUAAAAGGACGUCCCUGGGAGUACUCCUGUGCCAGAGAGCUCCCAAUUGUCAUCAUGGAGUUUGUAUAUUCUCCACAUCAGGGCCGGAUUAAGGCUCCAGGGGGCCCGGGGGGUACUUUAGACAAGGUGGGCCCCGGAGGACUAAAUAUAGUGUAUAUAGGAAGGGGAGGUUCCUUACAUGUGUCUGUCUAUCUAUCUAUCUAUCUAUCUAUCUAUCUAUCUAUCUAUCUAACUAACAUAGAUAAAAGUAUAAGCAGAAAGCUGUUGGAGGCAGUAACAAAAUAUAGCACAUAUUAUUGAAUAGAAAAUUAGCAUAUAUAUAUAUAUAUAUAUAUACACUGUAGAAAAACAUUAUCACACUGUAGAAAUCCCCCCCUGCUGCCGAUACAUCGCCGUAGGUGAUAGGCACAGAUUUAAGAGGGGAACGAUCAGGGCACUCGCCUACCCUAGCACACUGCUGCUUUUCAGUGUGAUGAAACACACUGUCUCGGAGAUGGAGGAGCAGCAGGAGAUGGUGUGGCUGCGGGUCCCGGCCUUCCUGUCCCUGGACGAUGUGUUCAGCAUAGCGAAGAGCCCUGGCUCCGAGCUACAGGACCUGACCAAGCAGUGCGGCCCUUAGUCAGUGUCCAGGGUAGUCCCGCAAGUGGCGCGGGUUCUUGAGCUGCUAGAGAGCUUUGUGGCAGCGGGUGGAAGGGAGGGAGCAUGAGCUGCUGAUUAGGAUGAU